CAUUUGGGGGUGGCAUUCGCGCGCGCUAUGGCAUCUAAUUCUUCGAGGAUCCGAGAGAUGGCUUUGAAGAGGCUGAUAGCGCGAGUCUUUACAGAGUCGAGGUUGAGCUGCUGCUGAAGCGCCGAGUUCAGCCGCUCCACAGCCUUCGCCGGCGGCGGUUGUUGCUGGUCUUGGCCAAGCCGCCACCACUGCUGCUUCCGCAGCUGCCAUUAAUAUUUGAUCGGAGCUCCGCCGUGGGCGGCCGGGUGAGGGUUGAGAAUUCCGGUUAAUAUAUCCUCAGCGUCAAUGAGUCAAUUCUUCGAAGGAAAAAAGGUUAAUAAAUUCAGUUCAAAAAUACAGCAUCCAGUUCAUAUUAAAAUCAAAUCAAAUCAAAUCAAAUUAUCAUAAUUUAGCAAUUGUCGUCUACUAUUAUUUCAUAAUUACUUUAACUAUUUAAAUAUUUUAUAAGUAUUAACUAAUCCAAUAAAAAGAUGGAUUAAUAUUUAUAAUAUUGUUGACAAAUAAUAAAGUGAUUAAUAUAUGAGGUCAAAAUUUUNACCAAGUGCAUUGGAAGUGACGAUGCCACUUGUCUUUGAUCUCCAGGUACUCUUAACCCUGCACAUAAAAUGUCAAAGACGCAGUCCAAUCCAAAAGAUACGUAUGCUGUAAAGCGUAAGGUGUAUUAUACUUCCAAGAGCUGCUGAGUAAGAAUUUUCACCUUCACCAUGAUUGACAGCACUACGAAGCAAAUUUCCUGUCUUGUAUUUUGCAGCUUGCACCUUGUCAAUAGUUGGGAGAAGAUUUGUCCCCUGCCGAGUGCCAAAGUAGGUUUACGCGCAUCAGCUAUGAUCUUCUCAGCACUUUCACAGGCUGCUCCAAUCAUAUCAAUUCUAGUCUGAGAUCAAUUAAACAUACAUCAUUAUAAAGGAACGCCCAAUGAUGCACAAAUAUUCCAGCAGAAUGACUACACACCUUGAGCUUGUCAAUUGUGCCGCCACUGGCAGGCCCUGCAUACCAUGCAACAGCUGUUCUCUCUUAGUGUUGUCUUCCAUCUCCAUUUCCGGCAAAAGCUUAGAUGACAGCAUAACAGGCAGAACUGCAGCCAAGGAACAGCCAAACUUAAUACACGAAAUUGAAUUCCCACAUUGCACCUCUCUUACUCAUCAACAUAAAAAUCUUAUAGUGGAGAUAAACAAACCAGCUUUGCCUUUCUCAAUCUCCCACAUAGCCUUUUUAUGUCUUACAGUGAUGCAAUCAUAUAAGCAAGCAUUUCCUAUAAACUUUUAGCGACCUUAUAGCAAAUGCUUGGUCACAAGGAAAAAUAACCAGAAUAAACAAUUGAAAUCAAAAGGUUAAUCCACUUUUGCAGUGUAGCAGAUAAAUCAACACAUACUAGUAGCAUUCUCAGCAUUAACAUUCUUAGGAUGCACAACAAAAGCCUUGGACACAUUCUUGAUAUCUUCAACAAUAUUGUACAGCUCCAGAUUUACCAUCGAGAACUGCCCCAAAACAUCUUGCCUGCACCAAAAACCCUAAAAUUAUCAAUUGCGCGAGAAUUUGAUCGACAGCUACGGAAACUGGUUGAAUUGAAAUGGCAUAUUCGUACCAUUUGGGGGUGGCAUUCGCGCGCGCUAUGGCAUCUAAUUCUUCGAGGAUCCGAGAGAUGGCUUUGAAGAGGCUGAUAGCGCGAGUCUUUACAGAGUCGAGGUUGAGCUGCUGCUGAAGCGCCGAGUUCAGCCGCUCCACAGCCUUCGCCGGCGGCGGUUGUUGCUGGUCUUGGCCAGCCGCCACCACUGCUGCUUCCGCAGCUGCCAUUAAUAUUUGAUCGGAGCUCCGCCGUGGGCGG
rnacentral:lncRNA from 1 species